ACGCGAAGAACCUUACCAGGUCUUGACAUCCUCGGAANNNNGNNNANANAUGCCUUGGUGCCUUCGGGAACCGAGAGACAGGUGCUGCAUGGCUGUCGUCAGCUCGUGUCGUGAGAUGUUGGGUUAAGUCCCGUAACGAGCGCAACCCUUGUCCUUAGUUGCCAGCGCGUAAUGGCGGGAACUCUAAGGAGACUGCCGGUGACAAACCGGNGGAAGGUGGGGACGACGUCAAGUCAUCAUGGCCCUUACGACCUGGGCUACACACGUGCUACAAUGGAACGCACAGAGGGUUGCAACCUCGCGAGAGUGAGCCAAUCCCACAAAACGUUUCGUAGUCCGGAUCGGAGUCUGCAACUCGACUCCGUGAAGUCGGAAUCGCUAGUAAUCGCGGAUCAGAAUGCCGCGGUGAAUACGUUCCCGGGCCUUGUACACACCGCCCGUCACACCAUGGGAGUGGGUUGCUCCAGAAGUGGUUAGCCUAACCUNNGGGGNG
rnacentral:rRNA from 1 species